rnacentral:rRNA from 1 species
AUGCAAGUCGAGCGAGAAACCUGUAAUUGAAACUUCGGUAGAUUUUAUAGGCGGAAAGCGGCGGACGGGUGAGUAACGCGUAGGCAACCUGCCCUUUGCAGAGGGAUAGCCUCGGGAAACCGGGAUUAAAACCUCAUAAUACUGCAAAUUCACAUGUAAUUGCAGUCAAAGAUUUAUCGGCAAAGGAUGGGCCUGCGUCUGAUUAGUUAGUUGGUGAGGUAACGGCUCACCAAGGCGAUGAUCAGUAGCCGACCUGAGAGGGUGAUCGGCCACAUUGGAACUGAGACACGGUCCAAACUCCUACGGGAGGCAGCAGUGGGGAAUAUUGCACAAUGGGGGAAACCCUGAUGCAGCAACGCCGCGUGAACGAUGAAGGCCAAAAGGUCGUAAAGUUCUGUCCUUGGGGAAGAAACAAAUGACGGUACCCUUGGAGGAAGCCCCGGCUAAAUACGUGCCAGCAGCCGCGGUAAUACGUAUGGGGCGAGCGUUAUCCGGAAUUAUUGGGCGUGAAGAGUACGUAGGUGGUUUUUUAAGCGCAGGGUUUAAGGCUACGGCUUAACUGUAGUUUGCCUUGCGAACUGGGAGACUUGAGUGCAGGAGAGGAAAGCGGAAUUCCUAGUGUAGCGGUGAAAUGCGUAGAUAUUAGGAGGAACACCGGUGGCGAAGGCGGCUUUCUGGACUGUAACUGACACUGAGGUACGAAAGCGUGGGGAGCAAACAGGAUUAGAUACCCUGGUAGUCCACGCCGUAAACGAUGAGCACUAGGUGUCGGGAUCGCAAGAUUUCGGUGCCGCAGUUAACGCAUUAAGUGCUCCGCCUGGGGAGUACGUACGCAAGUAUGAAACUCAA